UUGAGGAAGGUUGUGGCCCUGCGGCACAGCAGAGCUGCAGCGGGUACAGAGGCGCCAUUUUGUGAGGGGCAUGGCAAAUGGCGGCGCUGGUCUGUGUCCUCCUCGCUCCAUCUCUCCCUCCCUCCACUCCUUACUGUUUUAGAAACAAGUUUAAUCCUGCUUUCAGUGAGAAAUAACAACAGGACAUUAUUUCCCUCAGACCCAGGCUGUCAUCUUGUUGAACCCUGAACUGCAGCAGCAGAAAACCGGGUUUUGGUGUGGGGCAGUUGGCUGUGGUGAUGACCUGUGGAGCUGGGGUGCCUGAGGGAGCACAGCGGGAGCACCGGGACCUCCGAGCUCCCAGGGCCGUAACAGGAGCUUCCUGGAUCCAUGGUCUGUAUUUAAGGUUCCAAGUCAGCCGUGUCAAGAUUUGAACAAGAAUCAAGGAGGAUAAUGGGUCAGAUGUAAU